GCAUACACAUUUCAGAUAACUAGUGAGCUGUUAGACUAUGCUCUAAAAAUAUAUUUAAUGUUCGCUAACUACUCUUGUUUUUCGUGAUAAAAAUUCCAUGUUAUUAUUAGCUAAGCCCUAUUAUUGUUCCCUGAUGGAUUGCUGUAAAACUCAAACUAAAAUUAACCGCAGGAUCAGAUGCCUCGCAAGCAAACUAAUUGAGAGCCGACAGCAGCGUUUGCAAUUGUUGUUCGACGGUUUCCUCUCCUGUCUGGAGCUGGAGUACGAUUGGCCCCGCCUGAUGCACUUUGAGUUCGUGUGUAACUAGCAAAGCGGUGGCUCACGAACACGGCGACAAUUAAAAGCCAGUAAAAAGCUGAUCAGCCGUGUCGCUUGGUAACUUAAUCACAUCAAAGGUCACUCCCCCCAACCGCCUGUGGUUAAUCUGAAAUACAUGUAAGACAGAACUGGCUUGCA